rnacentral:rRNA from 1 species
UACGUAGGGUCCGAGCGUUGUCCGGAAUUAUUGGGCGUAAAGGGCUCGUAGGCGGUUCGUCACGUCGGGAGUGAAAACUCGGAGCUUAACUCCGAGCCUGCUUCCGAUACGGGCAGACUAGAGGUAGGCAGGGGAGAGCGGAACUCCUGGUGUAGCGGUGGAAUGCGCAGAUAUCAGGAGGAACACCGGUGGCGAAGGCGGGUCUCUGGGCAGUAACUGACGCUGAGGAACGAAAGCGUGGGUAGCGAACAGG